GGCGGCAUGCUUUACACAUGCAAGUCGAACGGCAGCACGGGCUUCGGCCUGGUGGCGAGUGGCGAACGGGUGAGUAAUACAUCGGAACGUACCCAGAAGUGGGGGAUAACGUAGCGAAAGUUACGCUAAUACCGCAUACGUUCUACGGAAGAAAGUGGGGGACCGCAAGGCCUCAUGCUUUUGGAGCGGCCGAUGUCUGAUUAGCUAGUUGGUGAGGUAAAGGCUCACCAAGGCGACGAUCAGUAGCUGGUCUGAGAGGACGACCAGCCACACUGGAACUGAGACACGGUCCAGACUCCUACGGGAGGCAGCAGUGGGGAAUUUUGGACAAUGGGCGCAAGCCUGAUCCAGCAAUGCCGCGUGAGUGAAGAAGGCCUUCGGGUCGUAAAGCUCUUUUGUCAGGGAAGAAACGGUAGGAGCUAAUAUCUCUUGCUAAUGACGGUACCUGAAGAAUAAGCACCGGCUAACUACGUGCCAGCAGCCGCGGUAAUACGUAGGGUGCAAGCGUUAAUCGGAAUUACUGGGCGUAAAGCGUGCGCAGGCGGUUUUGUAAGUCUGUCGUGAAAGCCCCGGGCUCAACCUGGGAAUUGCGAUGGAGACUGCAAGGCUUGAAUCUGGCAGAGGGGGGUAGAAUUCCACGUGUAGCAGUGAGAUGCGUAGAGAUGUGGAGGAACACCGAUGGCGAAGGCAGCCCCCUGGGUCAAGAUUGACGCUCAUGCACGAAAGCGUGGGGAGCAAACAGGAUUAGAUACCCUGGUAGUCCACGCCCUAAACGAUGUCUACUAGUUGUCGGGUUUUAAUUAACUUGGUAACGCAGCUAACG
rnacentral:rRNA from 1 species